rnacentral:rRNA from 1 species
AAUAGAUACCCUGGUAGUCCACGCCGUAAACGUUGGGCGCUAGAUGUGGGGACCUUUCCACGGUUUCCGUGUCGUAGCUAACGCAUUAAGCGCCCCGCCUGGGGAGUACGGCCGCAAGGCUAAAACUCAAAGGAAUUGACGGGGGCCCGCACAAGCGGCGGAGCAUGCGGAUUAAUUCGAUGCAACGCGAAGAACCUUACCAAGGCUUGACAUAACCGAGAACACCGUAGAAAUACGGGACUCUUUGGACACUCGGUUACAGGUGGUGCAUGGUUGUCGUCAGCUCGUGUCGUGAGAUGUUGGGUUAAGUCCCGCAACGAGCGCAACCCUCGUCGCAUGUUGCCAGCACGUCAUGGUGGGAACUCAUGUGAGACUGCCGGGGUCAACUCGGAGGAAGGUGGGGAUGACGUCAAAUCAUCAUGCCCCUUAUGUCUUGGGCUUCACGCAUGCUACAAUGGCCGGUACAAAGGGCUGCGAUGUCGUAAGGCGGAGCGAAUCCCAAAAAGCCGGUCUCAGUUCGGAUUGAGGU